rnacentral:tRNA from 1 species
GGUCUAGCCAGGUUAUGACGGCUCCUUCACACGGAGCAGGUCGGCGGUUCGAAUCCGCCCCA